UUUCCUACGGGGCGCAGCAGUGAGGAAUAUUGGUCAAUGGGCGGGAGCCUGAACCAGCCAAGUCGCGUGAGGGAUGACGGCCCUAUGGGUUGUAAACCUCUUUUGCCGGGGAGCAAAGUGCCGCACGUGUGCGGUUUGGAGAGUACCCGGAGAAAAAGCAUCGGCUAACUCCGUGCCAGCAGCCGCGGUAAUACGGAGGAUGCGAGCGUUAUCCGGAUUUAUUGGGUUUAAAGGGUGCGUAGGCGGAAGGUUAAGUCAGCGGUCAAAUGUCGGUGCUCAACACCGGCCUGCCGUUGAAACUGGUC
rnacentral:rRNA from 1 species